CGGUAAUUCCAGCUCCAAUAGCGUAUACUAAAGUUGUUGCAGUUAAAAAGCUCGUAGUUGGAUUUCUGCGUCGGGUGGGGCCGCCUGGUUUCCCUCAAGGGGCCGUGGUCGUGUCCCCCGCCUGCGCAUCCUGCCGCGAUCGGCGCUGCUCUUAGUUGAGCGGCGUUUCCCGGGACCGGCUCGUUUACUUUGAGAAAAAUAAAGUGUUCAAAGCAGGCCACCUCGCCUUGAAUAAGUUAGCAUGGAAUAAUGAUAAAGGACUUCGGUUCUAUUUUCGUUGGUUGCCGCGGACUGAAGUAAUGAUUGAUAGGGACAGUUGGGGGCGUCAGUAUUCUGGAGCGAGAGGUGAAAUUCUUAGACCUCCGGAAGACUAGCCGCUGCGAAAGCGUUCGCCAAGGAUGUUCCCUUUGAUCAAGAACGAAAGUUGAAAAAUCGAAAACGAUCAGAUACCGUCGUAGUCUCAACUAUAAACUAUACCAGCUAGGGAUCGGCCGCCGUUGGAAUUUCGAGACUCGGUCGGCACCUUAUGAGAAAUCAAAGCAUCUGGGUUCCGGGGGGAGUAUGGUCGCAAGGCUGAAACUUAAAGGAAUUGACGGAAGGGCACCACCAGGCGUGGAGCCUGUGGCUUAAUUUGACUCAACACGGGGAAACUUACCAGGUCCAGACAUAGGGAGGAUUGACAGAUUGACAGCUCUUUCUUGAUUCUGUGGGUGGUGGUGCAUGGCCGUUUUUAGUCGGUGAAGUGAUUUGUCUGCUUAAUUGCGUUAACGGACGAGACCCCAGCCUGCUAAAUAGCGCGGCCGAGCUUUGCUCGGUGCGAGCUUCUUAGAGGGACCAUGAUGCGCGAUAGCACAAGGAAGUUUGGGGCAACACCAGGUCUGUGAUGCCCUUAGAUGUUCUGGUCCGCACACGGGCUACACUAGCGCCUGCAACGAGCAUAUCAGCUGGCCCGAGAGGGUCUUGGCUAAUCUUUGGAACCGGCGCCGUGCUUGGGAUUGACCAUUGCAAUUGUUGGUCAUGCAACGAGGAAUGCCUUGUAAACGCGAGUCAUCAGCUCGCAUUGAAUACGUCCCUGCCCUUUGUACACACCGCCCGUCGCUCCUACCGAUGAAUGUUCCGAUGAAAUUUUCGGAGAGCGCCAGAGAACGGGGCUCUGCCUUGCAGAUCUGGAGGCUCAAAGUCACUUAAAUCUGAACAUUUCGAGGAAGGAGAAGUCGUAACAAGGUAACC
rnacentral:rRNA from 1 species